CAAGCCUCACAGUCCCAUCCCUGUUGGGACAAUUCCAAAUGAAGGCCUUAAAUGAUGCUCAGCUAAGCUGGUUCUUGUGUGGCCUCUGUACCUUCAAAAGCUGCCGAGUCCUAUGAUUACACGUGAUGGGACUUGUACACUUGAAGUGAAACACAGUUUUAAAACUUGCUUUGUUUAGAAUUCCCACCUCAUUUUUCCAUGGACAAAAGUAUUCUUUAUGUCCUAGUGCACUUACAAUUUGGUAUUACCUGGGAGUGAAAAGAAAUAUUACAGCCAUGCCCAACUGACUUCUUGAGGUAAGAUUGUUCUGUCAGAAAACCCUCUCCCAGUUCCCCUGCAGCUCUUCAGGAAUCCACAUCUCUCCAGAGCUCUUUGUUCUCAUGGGUGGCACCUCCAGAGUGAAGAAGAUCCUUUGUCAAGAAGGGAAACAGAGGGGAAAUGAGAGGGUCCUGCAGGCAGAGCUGGAAUCAACUUCCACUCUGCCUCUUGCAAGCUGUGUGACCCUGGGCACAAUUUCUCCUUCCUCUGGAAACCUCUGUUUUCUUAGAUUUGGAGCAGGGUGGUCACACUGACCUUGCAGAGUUCUGAGAAUCAGAGACAGAACAUAAAAGGCCUGGAAAACAUUCUCCAAAAAGAAGCUGCAACAUGUGUGGACAAUGG
rnacentral:lncRNA from 10 species